rnacentral:rRNA from 1 species
AGGACGAACGCUGGCGGCGUGCUUAACACAUGCAAGUCGAGCGGAAAGGCCUUUCGGGGUACUCGAGCGGCGAACGGGUGAGUAACACGUGAGUAAUCUGCCCAUCGCUUCAGGAUAGCCAUCGGAAACGGUGAUUAAUACUGGAUAUGACAUUCCUUCGCAUGUUGGGGUGUGGAAAGUUUUUUUCGGCGGUGGAUGUGCUCGCGGCCUAUCAGCUUGUUGGUGGGGUAAUGGCCUACCAAGGCUUUGACGGUAGCCGCUGAGAGGGUGACCGGCACACUGGGACUGAGACACGGCCAGACCCCUAGGGAGCAGCAGUCGGGAAUAUUGGACAAGUCGGGACGAAGCCUGGAUCCAGCAACGGCCGCGUGAGGAUGGACGGCCGUUACGGGUUACGUAACCGUUACUUCGAGC